CUGGUUAAUUCCGAUAACGAACGAGAUCUUAACCUGCUAAUUAGCGGCGAGUACGCUAUAUCCUUUAUCGGGGGAUUGGUUUUGACGUUUUUGCGGUCAUACUGCUUAAUCAAUUGGUUUACCUUUUGCUCUUUUGCGGUAUGUUUCUCGCAUCUUCGACAUGCCUCUCUUCUGAUAAGGAUGUAUUCGCUUUAUUUAAUGCUUCUU
rnacentral:rRNA from 1 species